rnacentral:rRNA from 1 species
UACAGAGGUCUCAAGCGUUGUUCGGAUUCAUUGGGCGUAAAGGGUGCGUAGGUGGCGGGGCAAGUUCGGUGUGAAAUCCGGGCGUCAACCCUGGAACUGCACUGAAUACUGCUUUGCUAGAGUACUGGAGAGGGAACUGGAAUUUACGGUGUAGCAGUGAAAUGCGUAGAUAUCGUAAGGAAGACCAGUGGCGAAGGCGAGUUCCUGGACAGUUACUGACACUGAGGCACGAAGGCCAGGGGAGCAAACGGG